rnacentral:rRNA from 1 species
CACGAAGGGGGCUAGCGUUGUUCGGAAUUACUGGGCGUAAAGCGCACGUAGGCGGGUGGGUAAGACAGGGGUGAAAUCCCGUAGUUCAACUCCGGAGCUGCCUUUAAUACUGGCCAUCUAGAGAUCGGAAGUGGUAAGUGGAAUUCCCAGUGUAGAGGUGAAAUUCGUAGAUAUUGGGAAGAGUACCAGGAGCGAAGGCGGCUUACUGGUCCGACACUGACGUUGAUGUGGGAACGGGUGGUGAGCAAACAGG